CUGUCAUAUCAUGUUGAAACACCAGUUACCGUACGACCACCGAAGUUAAGCAAUGUCGAGCCAGGUCAGUACCUAGAUGGGUGACCGCUUGGGAACGCCAUGUGCUGUAAG